UGGGGAAUAUUGCGCAAUGGGCGAAAGCCUGACGCAGCGACGCCGCGUGAGGGAUGAAGGUCUUCGGAUCGUAAACCUCUGUCAGCAGGGAAGAACGGUCACUGUGCUAAUCAGCAGUGAAUUGACGGUACCUGCAAAGGAAGCACCGGCUAACUCCGUGCCAGCAGCCGCGUAAUAU
rnacentral:rRNA from 1 species